rnacentral:lncRNA from 1 species
ACGUGAUGUGCCUUCUCUGUGCCUUUUCCUUAAAUAAAGGGCAUUCCUGUUUCCAAGGCAGAAAUAUCACAAGGAGGCUGAUGCUGCACAGCAGUCGACCCGGGGAGCCUUUCUGAGCAUCUCUGCUUCCGAUGCUGAGGAAAACCAGGAUGUGCAAGUAGCCCCUCUUUUCAUUCAAACCUGGAUCAGUUGCCUGAAUUUUUUCAUCUUACCGCUGCUUUGGCAUCAGCACGUUUCUUCUACUACACCUCAGUCAAGAGUCAAACCUUGACCGCUGUGAGACUACUGGUAUGGCUUGGGGAAUGGUCUUGUUUGUACAUCUCCUCUGGCCGUGGUGCUGUUGAAGUCAUGAGCCACGUGGUCUGUUGUGGUAGCGGUAUUUUUAUUAGGUGUGGGACUGAAAAAGACUCAACGAUGGCAUUGUCUGUUACUUUUUCCAGCUUUGGAUCAAGUACUCAAGUUUAUGUUGUUAUCACUGAUAACUCAUUUUUGCAGGUAAAGCACCCUCUCUUUAGUUCCUGGGCUGGGGCCAUUGAGAAAUUACAUU